rnacentral:rRNA from 1 species
CAAGUCGAACGAGAAAGUGGAGCAAUCCAUGAGUAAAGUGGCGCACGGGUGAGUAACACGUGACUAACCUACCCUUGAGUGGGGAAUAACCUAGGGAAACCUGGGCUAAUACCGCAUAACACCUACGGGUCAAAGGAGCAAUUCGCUUAAGGAGGGGGUCGCGGCAGAUUAGCUAGUUGGCGGGGUAAUGGCCCACCAAGGCGGUGAUCUGUAUCCGGCCUGAGAGGGCGCACGGACACACUGGAACUGAAACACGGUCCAGACUCCUACGGGAGGCAGCAGUGGGGAAUUUUGCGCAAUGGGGGAAACCCUGACGCAGCAACGCCGCGUGGAGGAUGAAGUCCCUUGGGACGUAAACUCCUUUCGAUCGGGACGAUUAUGACGGUACCGGAGGAAGAAGCCCCGGCUAACUUCGUGCCAGCAGCCGCGGUAAUACGAGGGGGGCAAGCGUUGUUCGGAAUUAUUGGGCGUAAAGGGUGCGUAGGCGGUUCGGUAAGUCUUAUGUGAAAUCUUCAGGCUCAACUUGAAGUCUGCAUGAGAAACUGCCGGGCUUGAGUGUGGGAGAGGUGAGUGGAAUUUCCGGUGUAGCGGUGAAAUGCGUAGAUAUCGGAAGGAACACCUGUGGCGAAAGCGGCUCACUGGACCAUAACUGACGCUGAUGCACGAAAGCUAGGGGAGCAAACAGGAUUAGAUACCCUGGUAGUCCUAGCCCUAAACGAUGAUCGCUUGGUGUGACGGGUACCCAAUCCCGCCGUGCCGAAGCUAACGCGUUAAGCGAUCCGCCUGGGGAGUACGGUCGCAAGGCUGAAACUCAAGGAAUUGACGGGGGCCCGCACAAGCGGUGGAGCAUGUGGUUUAAUUCGACGCAACGCGAAGAACCUUACCUGGGCUCGAAAUGUACAGGAAUCCGGUGGAAACAUCGGCGCCCCGCAAGGGGCCUGUAUAUAGU